UCCCUAAUGGUCCAGGGCUAAGAUGCUGCACUUCCAAUGCAGAGGGCCUGGGAACAAUCUCUGGUCAGGGAA
rnacentral:tRNA from 1 species